rnacentral:misc_RNA from 1 species
UGGCUGAAGAUGGCUUGAAACUUUUUAGGUCUUGUCUGCUUAUGCUGUCCAGGAAUAUUCACUGCCCUUUUCGGCAUGGUAGGUGGAGGGCAGGUCUACCCAACUGCAGCCAAUAACGCGAAUAUUGAUUGGUGGUAGCAUCAAUAACAUAUUUGGUCCCCGUCUCACCCUCUCCGCUGGCUGCUCUACUUCACGCUGGCUCUUUCCUUUAUUACAACUACCACCACCACAGCCAAC